rnacentral:rRNA from 1 species
UACGAAGGGGGCUAGCGUUGUUCGGAUUUACUGGGCGUAAAGCGCACGUAGGCGGAUUGGUCAGUUAGGGGUGAAAUCCUGGAGCUCAACUCCAGAACUGCCUUUAAUACUGCCAGUCUCGAGUCCGGAAGAGGUAAGUGGAACUCCUAGUGUAGAGGUGGAAUUCGUAGAUAUUAGGAAGAACACCAGUGGCGAAGGCGGCUUACUGGUCCGGUACUGACGCUGAGGUGCGAAAGCGUGGGUAGCGAACAGG